rnacentral:rRNA from 1 species
UACGAAGGGGGCUAGCGUUGUUCGGAAUUACUGGGCGUAAAGCGCGCGUAGGCGGACUGGCAAGUCGGGGUGAAAUGCCGAGGCUCAACCUCGGAACUGCCUUCGAUACUGCCAGUCUUGAGGUCGGGAGAGGUGAGUGGAACUCCGAGUGUAGAGGUGAAAUUCGUAGAUAUUCGCAAGAACACCAGUGGCGAAGGCGGCUCACUGGCCCGGUACUGACGCUGAGGUGCGAAAGCGUGGGGAGCAAACAGG